AUACGGAGGAUGCGAGCGUUAUCCGGAUUUAUUGGGUUUAAAGGGUGCGUAGGCGGGCUGUUAAGCGUGAGGUGAAAGCUCGGGGCUCAACCCCGGAACUGCCUCGCGAACUGGCGGUCUUGAAUGUCCGUGCCGUGGGAGGAAUGUGUGGUGUAGCGGUGAAAUGCAUAGAGAUCACACAGAACACCGAUUGCGAAGGCAUCUCACGAACGGAUGAUUGACACUGAGGCACGAAAGCGUGGGGAUCAAACAGGAUUAGAUACCCUGGUAGUCCACGCAGUAAACGAUGAUAACUAACCGCUGGUGCGCAAGUACCAGUGGCCAAGCGAAAGCGAUAAGUUAUCCACCUGGGGAGUACGACCGCAAGGUUGAAACUCAAAUGAAUUGACGGGG
rnacentral:rRNA from 1 species